AGAAACGUCUUCUGUGCCCCUGGACAAGUCCCGGCACAGCUAAAAGCAGUGUGAUACUGUAUUCUCCUGAAGGACUGAAAAGCCUUUUUGGUAGGCAGGAAGGCACUCCAAGAGCUCAGAAGGAAUUGCUGCAUCAAUUCAGAGGCAAUUGCCUCAGAAGGGGCUUUCUGAACCAUUCCUGGAGAAAGAAGCACAAGUGGCCGAUGGAGCGGUUCAGGGGCUGCAGCAGCAAGAAACUUAAAGCAGGGUGCCCAGAAACCGCCCAGGGAAACUGCAGUCAGUUGUGCCCUUCCACGAGACCAGAAGGGUUUGAGUCAUGACUCUGCGUGGAGCACUUCGAAAGGAAGUCUCAGAGCUAUUCACAAGCUUCAAAACAAAUAAUCUCUCUGCUGAUGCGUGACAUCAUGCCCCCAAGAGAUCCUGCACAGCGCGCCUGAGAAGCGAGACGUCCUUCCUACCAGGCGCUGUCUCCCAACGUCAGCGAGAGCAGCGGGAGUGCGGAGUGCCAAGGGAGGGCGCACGCUGAGUCCAGGCCUGUCCCCAGCAGUGGGUGGUGCCACUAUUUCAGCCGCCGUUUACCCUGAGCAUCACACAGAGAACGGUCUGCCAAGCAAUAGCUCCGCCACAGGACUUUCAGCUGUUAUUUUUUUACUCACAGAUCCACCUCUCGGAUCAUUUUGGCUUUCUGAAGUCUGCCCCCAGACUGAUUGCAAAUACAGAGUCAGCCGGUUAUUUUCUGUACCUCAAAUGGCACGGGCUGAGUAAGGUCAGACCUCUUCCAUCUACUCCGAUCAGCUGCUACUCCCUGCGCUUAGACUUUCUUUGGUUUGAUGCCGGUGCUGUAAGCACAGAAUCCUCCUGCACAGAUCUACUCUUUAAAACUGUCACGUAUUUCUUCAGGAAAAAAAAAAAAUCCUCCUGUGAAACUACAACGUUGGGUCUGACGGCGCGUAGGCAGACGUUACAAUGACGUGAGACAGCUUCCCAGCGUGAGAGGCUGGGCCUGUGUGGCGGCGUCACCGUUACCAGGUCUCGCGUAAACUAGGCUCACUGCACUGUGGGUGUAGUUCAGCUGGAGAGAAAAGUGAUGAAAGAACAAGCUCCUGGCUGUGGAGCUCCAGUCUAACACUGGAGUUUCAUGGCAAGAAUAAAGUCACUCUUUACCCACACCUCUACCAUCAGUACGACUGAUGGAGCAGUGCUUGCUACCAGAGAUGAGGUCUAUCUGGCCUUGUAGCUGGCUUUGUUGGUGAUACUUGAUGUUGGUUUUUACUUAGUUCCUUGUUUAUUAUUGUAUGACGAGAGCUAUAACCUAACUCCUAUUUGUAACUACGGUACAAGGAUUAUUCCUUUUCAAGUUUGUGGGUAAAGAAGAUGCUUUUGCAUCCGUGUGGUGAGGUCAGUUGUGGAGGGCUGUGCUCCAAAUAAGAGCCAUGCAUAGUGCUGCUAAGUCUGUGCUGGUGAAUUUGGUUUUCAGGGCUCAUGUGCUGCUCACUGAAGCUGGCAGAAGGGUUAGAUCGCUUUAUCAGUUAAUUUUACCCUUCCUUCCUAUCACCUUCAACAUUUGCCAGCCACAAUUGCCCUCCACUUUUCUAUUGUAUCCUAUUCCAUGGAAUACCUGACUAGUACUUUUUUGAUUCUCUCACUCUACUGCAUAGUUAACUCGGACAAGCCAUUUAAAAAGCAUCUAACAAUGAUUAGGCAACGGAAGGGACCCACUCUGUCCCUCCCCCUCAGUAGCCUGCAUCUCCCAGGCCUCUGCAGUGCCUGCAAAUCCAACAGGCCAGAUGCUGCCCAUGGCAGCACUGCGGCUGCUCUCAGCUCCUCGGGCUGGAGAGAGGCGGCAGUGCGGGGCAGUGGCCAAGAGCGCGUGCUUUGCUUGGACACCUUCAGCGGCAGCGUCUCUCCCAAUCCACAGCCCAAAACGGGGCUGCGAAGGAACGACAGUGCGUUCACGGUGACACAAUAUGGGGCAUCACCCAGUGCGAAGGGUGGCCUCUGUGGCUCUGUCUACAUACAAGAUUCAGCUCUUGCGAUGGCCCAAUUGCCAGAGAGGAAAACAAAGGAGAAGCAUAAAAUAGGAAUCACUUCCUCCAAAAUAAAUCUUUAAAAAGUGCAUGCCUCAUCUAGCCCUCUUGGCACAAAUAAUAUUGAUGAUGCUUAUUGCCUCUCCAUUUUCUUCCUUAGAAUCCCCAGCAAAAUCUUAAAGUUACUAUCUCCAGCCAUAACAAGACUAUUUAGGGAUGCAGGCUAGGGACCCUCACCAGACUGAAAUCAUGUCAAGGCCCUGGGGAAACUGCAAUUGCAACUGAGUCAGUGUCAGCCAAGAUACACUUGCCUUAUACAGAAAGCCACUGAGGGACCACAAGGACACAGCAUAGCCUAAAAGCUGACAGUUGCUUUUCCAUGGGAAGCAAAGAAAAAAGUAGUAUCAAACUUAAACAGAUCUUUGUACACGUACUUGUAUUUGUCUGUCUAGCCUUUGACCUUUCUGGCUUAUUUAACUCUCUCAGGAGCCACAUAUUAACUGCAGGGUUAAUGUAUAGCGAGAGGAUUGCAAAGCAAGAGAACAGGCUGUAACCAUGAAGACGCUGAAUUUGAAAUGGUUGUUGUGAAGUUCUGCCCCAGGAAUGAAGACUUUCUUUUAAGUCUGAUGGGCUGUGAGGAACUCAGAUUACUUCUGUAAUUACUUCUGUGAAGUGUCCUUUCCUGUGUGUCAAUACAAGUGAUCUCUUUGGGCAGGCUCAGAAGUUUGGGGCUUAACAGAACUGGAAAUAAAAUCAUCACUUCAGA